CUUCCUUCACUACUAAAUUUAAUAUAUAUAUAAAUAAGGUUUAAGGAUUUUAAUUUUCCAUAGACAUCCAAAAAUGAAUGGUUCCUAAAUUUUAUCGUAAACUAUACAUAGUUAAGUGUCUUCAAGUUAUAAAUUUCAAUCAUACCGUAAUGGUUUUUAGAGAUGUGCAGCAUCAUUGUAGUAUUCUCUUAUGGCUUGGCUUCACAACAUUAUUUGUAUAGGCAUGCUCGAUGAGAUAAAUCAUUCUCCAAUUACGGGACAUUAGUUUUCAUCACGCAAGGCAAAUUGAAAGCACCGUUCAUUGCCCCUAUACCCUCUAAAUCUCUCAAUUUUCCGUUGGUUUGAAGGUAAAAAUAGAACACUCAAACUAUAAAAUCAAUUUCUAUAGUUUAAAUGAUCCGAAUAUCGUGACCAUGAACAACAAUUGAUACACAACGUUCAUUAUCUCAAACUGUAUCUGGUAUACAUAUACAUGACUUCCAAAGAAAGAAAAAAUAAAUAAAUAAAUAAGAAUUGCUCUGCGUCUGCGCUAAGAUUGAGGAAAUUUUUUUGCGUUAACUUAAUUAAUAUUCAAGAUCUGCAAAAAUAAAUAAAUAAAAAUAUAAAAUAAAAUCAGUUGUGGAGGGGGUUUGGUCCGCCUGGAACUGUUCGAUAUGAAACUUCAUAAAUCGGUCGACUAAUCUUUUCUGCAACAGAUGGCUGUGGCGACUUAGCUGCUGGGAAAUGGAACCAUGUUGUUGAGAGCUCCGCCGCCAUGGUGGUUGGUUCUUCAGGGUUUAUAGUUUUAAGGGUGUAGCGGCGGCAACUUGAGAGGUUGAUGGUGGAAAAAAUGAUGGUGAAGAAGAUGAAUAUGAAUUUGGGGUUACAAAUGAUGAUCAUGAUGAUGGAAAUGAGAAGAUGGUUUAUGGAAAUUGGGUUUUAAAGAAAAGAGAGGUCGAGUGUAUUUAAUGGGAGAUCAUGGUGAAAUAUGAAGUCAAA
rnacentral:lncRNA from 1 species